rnacentral:rRNA from 1 species
UAACCUCGGGAAACUGAGGAUAAACCGCGAUAGGCCAAAGUUUCUGGAAUGGACACUGGCUGAAAUCUAUACGGCCCCUGGAUUGGACUGCGGCCGAUCAGGCUGUUGGUGAGGUAAUGGCCCACCAAACCUGUAACCGGUAUGGGCUCUGAGAGGAGGAGCCCGGAGAUGGGCACUGAGACAAGGGCCCAGGCCCUAUGGGGCGCAGCAGGCGCGAAACCUCUGCAAUAGGCGAAAGCUUGACAGGGUUACUCUGAGUGAUGUCCGUUAAGGGCAUCUUUUGGCACUUCUAAAAAUGGUGCAGAAUAAGGGGUGGGCAAGUCUGGUGUCAGCCGCCGCGGUAAUACCAGCACCCCGAGUGGUCGGGACGUUUAUUGGGCCUAAAGCAUCCGUAGCCGGUUCUACAAGUCUUCCGUUAAAUCCACCUGCUUAACAGAUGGGCUGCGGAAGAUACUAUAGAGCUAGGAGGCGGGAGAGGCAAGCGGUACUCGAUGGGUAGGGGUAAAAUCCGUUGAUCCAUUGAAGACCACCAGCGGCGAAGGCGGCUUGCCAGAACGCGCUCGACGGUGAGGGAUGAAAGCUGAGGGAGCAAACCGGAUUAGAUACCCGGGUAGUCCCAGCUGUAAACGAUGCAGACUCGGUGAUGAGUUGGCUUAUUGCUAACUCAGUGCCGCAGGGAAGCCGUUAAGAUUGCCGCCUGGGGAGUACGGUCGCAAGACUGAAACUUAAAGGAAUUGGCGGGGGAGCAC